rnacentral:tRNA from 1 species
GGGGUUGUAGCUCAGUGGUAGAGUACUCGCCUAGCACACGUGAAGCAUAGGGUUCAAUCCUCAGCACCA